rnacentral:misc_RNA from 1 species
AAGUCGUAACAAGGUUUCCGUAGGUGAACCUGCGGAAGGAUCAUUAACACGUUUUAUCCAACGUAUCAACCAACGAGAACCGUUUUCAAAUUGCUCCCGGAGGCAAGGAAUGAGUGGAGUCCGACUGAGGUGUUGAAAGGGAUUGCUUCGGCGUCAGCCUCUAUCUUACUACUUAAACUAAAAUCGAAAGAUUUGGUUUAGACACUGUAUUCUUGCCAAAGGAAAUAAAUUCUGCGCAGGGUGUCCCCUUUCAUUGACUUCUGUCGCAGGUCCAAAUUUUAUAACUUAUUUAACCCAAUUUUUUGCUAGUUGACUUUAUUCUGUUGUAAUCUUUUCUGUAAUGGAAAUUGGAUUCAACACGUUUAAUCUAAUUGAACGUUAAAAUCAAUACAACUCUUAGCAAUGGAUAUCUUGGUUCUC